rnacentral:snRNA from 1 species
GUCAUAUUGAGUCUCUCCCCUGCG